rnacentral:rRNA from 1 species
UACGUAGGGGGCAAGCGUUGUCCGGAAUCAUUGGGCGUAAAGAGCGCGCAGGCGGUCGGAUCAGUCGAAUGUGAAAGCCCCCGGCUCAACUGGGGAGGGUCAUUCGAUACUGUCCGACUCGAAGGCAGGAGAGGGAAGCGGAAUUCCCGGUGUAGUGGUGAAAUGCGUAGAUAUCGGGAGGAACACCAGUGGCGAAGGCGGCUUUCUGGCCUGUUCUUGACGCUGAGGCGCGAAAGCUAGGGGAGCGAACGGG